AUAUUGCUGAGUCUGUUUGUCAAUAAGCAGCCACCUUCACCUUUCCCAGGGUGAGGCUCAUCCAUUGCACUGUGGAUGUGCUGACCCCUGCGAUUUCCCUGAAUGCAGGAAACUCGACUGCAUAAUUUGUGGUAGUGGGGGACUGCAUUUGUGCUCUCCCCUG